rnacentral:rRNA from 1 species
AUUGAACGCUGGCGGCAGGCCUAACACAUGCAAGUCGAGCGGAUGAAGGGAGCUUGCUCCUGGAUUCAGCGGCGGACGGGUGAGUAAUGCCUAGGAUUCUGCCUGGUAGUGGGGGAUAACGUCCGGAAACGGGCGCUAAUACCGCAUACGUCCUGAGGGAGAAAGUGGGGGAUCUUCGGACCUCACGCUAUCAGAUGAGCCUAGGUCGGAUUAGCUAGUUGGUGGGGUAAAGGCCUACCAAGGCGACGAUCCGUAACUGGUCUGAGAGGAUGAUCAGUCACACUGGAACUGAGACACGGUCCAGACUCCUACGGGAGGCAGCAGUGGGGAAUAUUGGACAAUGGGCGAAAGCCUGAUCCAGCCAUGCCGCGUGUGUGAAGAAGGUCUUCGGAUUGUAAAGCACUUUAAGUAGGGAGGAAGGGCAGUAAGUUAAUACCUUGCUGUUUUGACGUUACCAACAGAAUAAGCACCGGCUAACUUCGUG